AGAGUUUGAUCCUGGCUCAGGACGAACGCUGGCGGCGUGCCUAACACAUGCAAGUCGAACGGAACUGUUUUGAAAGAUUUCUUCGGAAUGAAUUUGAUUUAGUUUAGUGGCGGACGGGUGAGUAACGCGUGAGUAACCUGCCUUCAAGAGGGGGAUAACAUUCUGAAAAGAAUGCUAAUACCGCAUGACAUAUCGGAACCACAUGGUUUUGAUAUCAAAGAUUUUAUCGCUUGAAGAUGGACUCGCGUCCGAUUAGUUAGUUGGUGAGGUAACGGCUCACCAAGACCGCGAUCGGUAGCCGGACUGAGAGGUUGAACGGCCACAUUGGGACUGAGACACGGCCCAGACUCCUACGGGAGGCAGCAGUGGGGGAUAUUGCGCAAUGGGGGCAACCCUGACGCAGCAACGCCGCGUGAAGGAUGAAGGUUUUCGGAUUGUAAACUUCUUUUAUUAAGGACGAAACUUGACGGUACUUAAUGAAUAAGCUCCGGCUAACUACGUGCCAGCAGCCGCGGUAAUACGUAGGGAGCAAGCGUUGUCCGGAUUUACUGGGUGUAAAGGGUGCGUAGGCGGCUUUGCAAGUCAGAUGUGAAAUCUAUGGGCUCAACCCAUAAACUGCAUUUGAAACUGUAGAGCUUGAGUGAAGUAGAGGCAGGCGGAAUUCCCCGUGUAGCGGUGAAAUGCGUAGAGAUGGGGAGGAACACCAGUGGCGAAGGCGGCCUGCUGGGCUUUAACUGACGCUGAGGCACGAAAGCGUGGGUAGCAAACAGGAUUAGAUACCCUGGUAGUCCACGCUGUAAACG
rnacentral:rRNA from 1 species